GAUGAACGCUGGCGGCGUGCCUAAUACAUGCAAGUCGAGCGAACAGACGAGGAGCUUGCUCCUCUGACGUUAGCGGCGGACGGGUGAGUAACACGUGGAUAACCUACCUAUAAGACUGGGAUAACUUCGGGAAACCGGAGCUAAUACCGGAUAACAUAUUGAACCGCAUGGUUCAAUAGUGAAAGACGGUUUUGCUGUCACUUAUAGAUGGAUCCGCGCCGCAUUAGCUAGUUGGUAAGGUAACGGCUUACCAAGGCAACGAUGCGUAGCCGACCUGAGAGGGUGAUCGGCCACACUGGAACUGAGACACGGUCCAGACUCCUACGGGAGGCAGCAGUAGGGAAUCUUCCGCAAUGGGCGAGAGCCUGACGGAGCAACGCCGCGUGAGUGAUGAAGGUCUUCGGAUCGUAAAACUCUGUUAUUAGGGAAGAACAAAUGUGUAAGUAACUAUGCACGUCUUGACGGUACCUAAUCAGAAAGCCACGGCUAACUACGUG
rnacentral:rRNA from 1 species